rnacentral:rRNA from 1 species
AUUGAACGCUGGCGGCAGGCCUAACACAUGCAAGUCGAGCGAGCGGCGGACGGGUGAGUACUGUCUGGGAAACUGCCUGAUGGCGGGGGAUAACUACUGGAAACGGUAGCUAAUACCGCAUACCAUCAGAUGUGCCCAGAGGGGAUUAGCUAGUGGGUGGGGUAACGGCUCACCUAGGCGACGAUCCCUUGCUGGUCUGAGAGGAUGAACAGCCACACUGGAACUGAGACACGGUCCAGACUCCUACGUGAGGCAGCAGUGGGGAAUAUUGCACAAUGGGCGCAAGCCUGAUACAGCCAUGCCGCGUGUGUGAAGAAGGCCUUCGGGUUGUAAAGCACUUUCGGCGGGGAGGCGUUACCCGCAGAGGAAGCACCGGCUAACUCCGUGCCAGCAGCCGCGGUAAUAC